UACGUAGGUGGCAAGCGUUGUCCGGAAUUAUUGGGCGUAAAGCGCGCGCAGGCGGCCUCUUAAGUCAGACGUGAAAGCCCCCGGCUCAACCGGGGAGGGCCGUUGUAAACUGGGAGGCUAGAGUGUAGGAGAGAAGAGUGGAAUUCCACGUGUAGCGGUGAAAUGCGUAGAGAUGUGGAGGAACACCAGUGGCGAAGGCGUCUCUUUGGCAUAUAACUGACGCUGAGGCGCGAAAGCGUGGGGAGCAAACAGG
rnacentral:misc_RNA from 1 species